GUGCUCAUCUCUAUAGCACUUAUACUAAAAAAUUAGAAUGAUACAGAGAAGACUAGCAUGGCCCCUGUGCAAAGAUAACAUGAAAAUUUUUGAAAUAUUUCAUAUUUUU
ensembl:snRNA U6 U6 spliceosomal RNA